UACGAAGGGGGCGAGCGUUGUUCGGAAUUACUGGGCGUAAAGGGCGCGUAGGCGGCCGAUCAAGUCAGAUGUGAAAGUCCUGGGCUUAACCUGGGGACUGCAUUUGAUACUGAUUGGCUUGAAUGCAGGAGAGGAUAGCGGAAUUCCCAGUGUAGAGGUGAAAUUCGUAGAUAUUGGGAAGAACACCGGUGGCGAAGGCGGCUAUCUGGACUGUGAUUGACG
rnacentral:rRNA from 1 species